rnacentral:lncRNA from 1 species
AGGUGGCAGCGCCGAUGCCCCGUUCAGGCUGGAAUGCCGAGGCUGCCUGCCCUCCUGACCCUGGGAGGGGUGCGGCAGUGCCAUUCGUGUCCCGCUGUCCCCGUCCUGCCCUUCCUGCAGCGCGCUGGGCGUGGGACGGGCGCCGAGAAUGGCGUGGGAGCGCAGGAAGCGCCGAUCAGGGCAAGGCGAGCGGGGAUGGCCCGUGAGGAGCCUCUGGUGCAGGAUGUCGGCAGGGUGCGGUGCGGUGGGAGCUGCUCCUGCUCACGCUGCCCAGGGAAGGAGAUGAACCCGCCCUGCGCGGGGGUUUCACACUCACAGCCUCGGUGCCUUCCAUGCUGGGGGAGUUUGAUAAACAAAGGAGCCAGGACAUUCUGGGAAGCUCCCAAGGUUUGCAUCACACUUCUGCCACAGCUGACUUGGACCCUCUGGAGCUGGAAGCGAGGCUUGGUGCAGGCAGUGGCUCUGAAAAGCAUUCUGAGGUCUCUGAACAGACACGUACCAAGUGAAAUGAAGUGAUUUGUGUCCCAGAGGAGUCUGCACUGAUUCACAACACGAUACCUGCAUGUUUGGAGAGGUUGUUUUGACUUUCUUCCAUGGUUCCUCACCAAAUUCAUGACAGGGUGGCUGGGAGGUGAACUCAGCCCUUUGCUUUCUACAUCUUGAAAAGGUGAACAAAUUAUUAUUACCUUGGAAAGGUAAAUAAAUCUUUUG